UACGGGGGGAGCAAGCGUUGUUCGGAUUUACUGGGCGUAAAGGGCGCGUAGGCGGCCACCGCAAGUCGAUUGUGAAAUCUCCGGGCUUAACUCGGAACGGUCAAGUGAUACUGUCGGGCUAGAGUGCAGAAGGGGCAACUGGAAUUCUCGGUGUAGCGGUGAAAUGCGUAGAUAUCGAGAGGAACACCUGCGGCGAAGGCGGGUUGCUGGGCUGACACUGACGCUGAGGCGCGAAAGCCAGGGGAGCGAACGGG
rnacentral:rRNA from 1 species